GGGGCUGUAACUCAGUGAUAGAGUGCUUGCCUUGCAUGUAUGAGGCACUGGGUUCGAUCCUCGGCACCA
rnacentral:tRNA from 1 species